GGAAAGGUGGUGCAAGAGGCACGAACUGUCCUAAAAUGGUAACAUUUCCCCAGUUAGUGUUAGACUUUUGCUGUCCCUGCUACUCUUUAAGUUUUGUGGACUUCGUGUCCCAUCAUGCUUACAUAAACACAGGAAGACAUGGUGCCUGUGUUCCUUUUAGUGUGCACCACAGGGCACAGGAGGUUAAGUAGCCCCCAGUAAUCUUGUCAGUAGCAGCUAAACCAACACUCCUAGUCCAUGUGCCCUGCUUCUCAGUCCCCAGAACUGCAGGAAUUGAGGGACUCUGGGGAAGCCUGUAACCAAGGCCUGCCUGCCAAAAGUAAAGGAUUCAGUCAUAACUGGGUGUGUGGUCAUGUAGACAGUGUCUUGCUGUGGUUCACAGAGCCUUAAAAUGUGACAGAAAGGCAAGGGAACUCUAGAGAGGUGCUGCUGUCACAACCACAAGUGACAUCCUAGGCACAAGGUGAGGCCAUUAUGGUAAUUGGGAACGAGGGCCCUGGCACAGGGGAGUAAGUUUUAUUUUGUUGUCCCUUAAAAUACUCAUGAUUCACAUAUUAUCAAUGAUGCCUCUACACUGUCAAAUGCUACCUCAUUGUUUCUUCCUAACGCAGGAAUUUCAGAAACAGCUUACAAAAGCCAGGAGAAUAAUGAUUGUCGGGAAUGGUGGCAUUGCUCUGGAGCUGGCGUAUGAAGUCGAAGGCUGUGAAGUGAUUUGGGCCAUAAAGGAUAAAGCCAUUGGAAAUACAUUCUUUGAUGCGGGCGCAGCAGAGUUUUUGACUUCCAGGCUCCUGUCUGAAAAAUCGGAGGCUAAACUUGCACACAAAAGAACGAUCUACACAGUCGAAGGCAAGUGCUCACCUCGUUCAUUCGCAGGUGAAAAACUGCAUUUAUUUUAAACGGAAAGGAAACUCAGUAAAAA
rnacentral:lncRNA from 1 species